UGGGUAGUCCGCACGAGCGCACCUUUUCCUUAUUUGCCAGCGGGUUAAGCCGGGAACUUUAAGGAUACUGCCAGUGACAAACUGGAGGAAGGCGGGGACGACGUCAAGUCAUCAUGGCCCUUACGACCAGGGCUACACACGUGCUACAAUGGUCGGUACAAAGAGUUGCUACCUAGCGAUAGGAUGCUAAUCUCAAAAAGCCGAUCGUAGUCCGGAUUGGAGUCUGCAACUCGACUCCAUGAAGUCGGAAUCGCUAGUAAUCGCGGAUCAGAAUGCCGCGGUGAAUACGUUCCCGGGCCUUGUACACACCGCCCGUCACACCAUGGGAAUUUGUUGCACCAGAAGUAGGUAGUCUAACCGCAAGGAGGACGCUUACCACGGUGUGGCCGAUGACUGGGGUGAAGUCGUAACAAGGUAGCCGUAGGGGAACCUGCGGCUGGAUCACCUCCUU
rnacentral:rRNA from 1 species